rnacentral:rRNA from 1 species
GACGUGCGCGCAAGGGCGGGCGCCCGCGGGCGAGCAGCGUGACGCAGCGACGGCCCGCCCGGGCUUCCGGGGCAUCACCCGGUCGGCGCGGUCGCGGCGCGCCGAGGGCCCGACGCCUGGCGGAGAAUCAGGGUUCGACUCCGGAGAGCGGGCCUGCGAGACGGCCCGCACAUCCAAGGACGGCAGCAGGCGCGGAACUUGCCCAAUGCGCGGCGCGCGAGGCAGCGACGGGGAGCGCGCGAGCGAGGCGGGCCCACAGCCCCCGCCGCGGAGCCGAGGGCAAGGUCUGGUGCCAGCAGCCGCGGUAAUUCCAGCUCGGCGAGCGUCGCGCGGCGCUGCUGCAGUUAAAACGCCCGUAGUUGGCCCCCCGCCGCCACGAGGAAACGGGAGCGCUCCAGGCAGGCCCGUUGGACCCGCCGCGUGGGACCG